rnacentral:rRNA from 1 species
GAGUUUGAUCAUGGCUCAGGAUGAACGCUAGCGGCAGGCUUAACACAUGCAAGUCGAACGGUAACAGGUCUUUCGGGACGCUGACGAGUGGCGCACGGGUGCGUAACGCGUAUGCAACCUACCUUUAACAGGAGGAUAGCUCUGAGAAAUCGGGAUUAAUACUCCAUAAUAUCUUAUUAUUGCAUAAUAAAGAGAUUAAAGAUUUAUCGGUUAAAGAUGGGCAUGCGUGACAUUAGCUAGUUGGUAAGGUAACGGCUUACCAAGGCGACGAUGUCUAGGGGUUCUGAGAGGAUGAUCCCCCACACUGGUACUGAGACACGGACCAGACUCCUACGGGGGGCAGCAGUGAGGAAUAUUGGUCAAUGGGCGCAAGCCUGAACCAGCCAUGCCGCGUGCAGGAUUGACAGCCCUACGGGUUGUAAACUGCUUUUAUAUGGGAAGAAAUGUUACUAUGCGUAGUAAUUUGACGGUACCAUUUGAAUAAGCACCGGCUAACUCCGUGCCAGCAGCCGCGGUAA